GAGGCUAAGGCAGGAGGGUUGCAAGUUUCUCAGGCUAGCCUGAGCUACACAGUGAGACCAUGCUUCAACCAAAAAUAGGGCAAAAUUAAGUAUCAUUGUUGUUUUCAAAAUGAUAGGAGACUGACUUAGCAAAUAACUUUGAAAAGUUGGAUUUGGGGGGCUAGAGAGAUGGUUGAGAGUACUGGUUGCUUUUCCAGAGGUCCUGAGUUCAAUUUCCAGCAACCAUAUGGUGACCCUCAACCAUCUGUUUUUUUUGUUUUUGUUUUUUUUUUCCCCCCCCGGAGCUGGGGACCGAACCCAGGGCCUUGCGCAUGCUAGGCAAGUGCUCUACCACUGAGCUAAAUCCCCAACCCAACCCUCAACCAUCUGUAAUGGAGUCUGAUUCCCUCUUCUGGAGUGUGUGACAACAGAGCAUUAAUAUACAUAAAAUAAAUGAAAUCUUUUUCGAAAAGUUUUAUUUAGGAUCAAACAAGUAAGCUGUCUUCUAUCUCUUCUAGUUGAAAAGCUUUUUUCAAUUUUGGACUUAAAUCGUACUUGAGAAUAUGAUAAGAAUUGAGUCAAUCCCUAUCGAAUUACACAUGUUUAUCUUUUCAUAAUUUCAAGAGUAUAAUGACACCUACUUUUGGGUAAGAACAAUUGUGACAAUGGCAGCAACACCUCUAUUAAGAAGAAUUAGCAUUUUCCACAGGCUCAAAUGUUUGAGUAAAAAGCAUCACGAUGUCAUUCCUAAAACAUAAAGGAAAAAUGACCUUUAUUUCUGAAAGAAAUGAGAAAACGAUAGCACUCUUAGAACAAAGGCAAAGUUGACAUCUGAAAUUUGGACUUAGUUUUUAAAUGCAAAUGACUUGAUCUCAAAUGAGCUUAUAUGUGAAGACUUUGACACGUAAGUACUGUAUAAUAGUAUAAGAAAUAGACUUAUUGUCAAAGAAGCCCAUGUAUGUAUUGGAUCUUAGAGCAAAUACAUGAUUCAGAUGUUUCAUGUUGCUGAUAUUGUGACUGCAUAUUGUCAAUUUGUAUUACAAGUAUAAAGAGUAAAAAAUUCCAUAAUUAAGAAAACAGGUCAUUGGAAAAGUACAAUUAUGAUUUGUAUAUGUUUGGCACUAUUAGCGGGUAUGGCCCUGUUGGAGUAGGUGUGUCACUCUGGGCAUGGGUAUUGUCCUAGCUUCCUGGAAGUUGACUAUUCUGCUAGCAGCCUUCAGAUGAAGAUGUAGAACUCUCAGCUCCUGCACCAUGCCUGCCUGGAUGCAGCCACAUUUCCCACCUUGAUGAUAAUGGACUGAACCUCUGAACCUGUAAGCCCAACCCAAUUAAAUGUUGUCCUUACAAGAGUUGCCUUGGUCAUGGUAUCUGUUCACAGCAGUAAGACCCUAACUAAGACAGAAUUGGUACUAGCAUAUUGGGGUAUUCUUGUGACAACCUGACCAUGUUUGGGGGAGUAGUGUGGAAGGACUUUGGAAUUUUGGGUGUUAAGAGCUCUGUGGGAUGUUCUGUAGAAGCUUGGAAGAUAAUGUUGAGAACAGUGCAAAUGAUGGAGGCCUGGCUUGUCAAAUUUCAGAGGGAAGAUUAAAGACUCUUAUUAGGGUCAUUGCUGUUUUGAUUGUGAAAAUUCUGUGGUUUUGGUUAGCUGGGGCUGAAGAAUCAGCUGUGAUUAACAAGAUACCAGAACUACUAAAGGGAAACCUUUGCAUUAUUGGAACUAUUGAUGCUGGUCAGUUGGAGCUAAGAUUAGUGGUGAUUAAGAAGAGACCAGCAUCACUGAGGUGAAGUCUUCUGGGAAGCUGUGUUCCAGAGAUAGUCAAGGUGGUACCUCAUGCUGCAGCUGGACUUGGUAAUGUGCAAGAGUCACCCAGGUGAUGCUGGUUUUGAAGGCAUGAAGGGGUCAUGAAGAGCAGCUGAGGCUUGGCACUGUGAGAGGCCAUGGAAGGCCAUUGGUGAAGGUGCAGCCUCAGUUACAAGUGAUGGCCCAGGACUGAAGGGGUCAUGCAAAGAAGUUAAGGCUUGGUACCAUGAAGAGAACAUAUGAGAGACUCUUGGUUAAGCCUGGUUGCAGCAGAAGACAGUAGUGUCUUAGAGAUGCCAGUACCAUGAGAUGACCACCAAGAACGGUAGCAGCAGUGGAACACAGGCAGCUGGAGCCGAGAAGACAAGGUGUGUGCUACAAAGGGCAGAGCUGGAGAAGUGACCAAAGCCUUUGGAGGAGCCCAGAAGAUCUUGAGUAGAUCCCAGACAUUGGAUGGUU
ensembl:lncRNA